GUUUGACGUUCAUUAGAUAAGCAAGUUUGUUUCGUAUACGAGUUCGGUUUAUUCUAACUAUCAAAUUACUCUUAACGUUAUAGUUUACUUUUUCAUCUGUAUGCCUUGCGUACGUUCACAUCCUUUCAAAUUUUCCAUGAAUGUUUCUAUAGUCUUCCUGCAGCUAUUGGUAAUGCAAAUACCCUUAUUUAAUUUGAUGUCCACAAGAUGGUAUUUGUCUUCAAGUUUUAACUUUAGCUGAGAAUAGAAAUGUGAAAAAUGACAGGAUAUUUACAAGUGGCAUAUAAUAUUCAAUUUAACAUCUCCUAUGAAUAAUAUUAUUUAUUUUAUUGUUGUAGAGUAAGACGAAAUUGAUUUAGCUUGGUGGUGAUGCGGGGAUGUGGAUCUGUUUUGAUCCUGUAGGAAGCCGAGAAGGCUGGCGUGCUUCUAUCUUAUUUUUUAUAUUUCUGUAUUGGACAUCUUUUGGUACCGAUGGCAGUUUAACAAAUGCAGCUGCAUUUAAUGUCCCCCAUAAUACUGUUACAUCGGAAGUAUCACUACCAGUUUCAACACACCAUGAAGAUGACGAAUGUAGGAAUGUGACCACUGAUAAUAGAGCUACUACUGGUCUAUCAGUGGUCAGUCAAGGAUCUGGUUCUCCUCAUUCGCCGAUAGUGCCUCCAACCUUUCUGUACGGAGUUCUUACCUGCCAACCGUAUCAAGGAAUUUCUGUGAACCACAUCUACUUUCAACUAGCAAAUGCCUUCUUUCUAUUGUCACAUCUUGCACCAAGUGGCAUACAUGGCGUACUUUAUUUAAGGUGCACUCUGCUCGUGGGCUGUGCCUUUCUUGCUUUGUGGGGCUGGACAAUAGCUUGUUGGCUGGAUGCUGCUCUCUGGAAUGCUCUAUUUGUUGCCAUCAACUUCGUCCAUGUAUGCACGCUUCUUUACAAGCUCAGGCCUAUCAAGUUUUCAAGGGAAGUUGAAGAGGUAUAUAUUGCAGUGUUCCAGCCAUUAAGAGUAUCACGUCAUCAGUUCAGAAAAGUGUUAAAUUGUAUGAAGGUUAUUCGACAGUUGAAAUAUCAAGAAGUUUAUGCCCAAGAAAAAGUAACCAAAGUUGAUUCUUUAUCUUUGGUACUUUCUGGGAAGUUAGUAGUUUCGCAAAAUGGAAGAGCAUUGCACAUUGUCUUCCCACAUCAGUUCCUGGAUUCUCCAGAAUGGUUUGGUGUUUCUACAGAUGAAUACUUUCAGGUAUCAAUAACAGCUAUGGAAGAAUCGAGGAUACUACUAUGGCAUAGAGACAAGUUAAAAUUAAGCAUAAUUAGUGAUCAAUUUCUGCAGGCAGUGUUUGAUCACAUUUUGGGAAGGGAUGUAGUCAAAAAAUUGAUGCAGGUUAGCGAAACGAUGGCCGCUAGCAGUCAUCAACAGCAAAAUGGACAAGUAAUUGGUUUAAGUGGUAUUGGAGCCUUAGAAAACGAUCCUGACACCAAACUCUUCGUUGUGAAAAAGACUGGUGAUAGUCAAGGUAUUACUGCUCUCAUCAGCCGUCAACUUCAAGAAGAGAGAAUGCCGCUGCUGUACACGACUCAGGAAGUGCUGAACAACACUUUGCAUCAUAUUAAUCACCUACGUACACCUCCUUUACAUCCUGUACAACACAGCAAUGUUCAGUCUUCCCUAUAAUAUUCCUGUGACACAAACUGUGCAGAUACUUAGCACAAAUUUGUACGUGAUAUAUGUUAUGUUUCUGCAAUGGAUAUCCAUACAGUUAUACAAAUAUCACUGGGUAACUUCAUUUAUUUUCUUCUGGUUAUUGUAUUCAGCAGCAGGAGAUCCAAAUGCAUGGAGAUUGGGAAGAAUUGAAGAGACUGAUCAUGAAACGCCUGUUUAAUGGAAUGAAUAUUAGAUGAAUGUCAUCCUCGACAGUCAAUAUAAAGCAACACCGGUCUUUUUACAUAACAUGAAAUAAUGAUGAAGCGUAUCCGUCAUUUUGGAAAAUAUGGCAUGGUGUGCGUGGAGCAAUUAAACAUUCUCUUGCCAAUUAAUAAUUUUUCCCACUAGUCAAGUAUGAUUAACAAUGGAAAGAAAGAUUUCAUUGUUUAUAGAAUAAUGGUUCCAUCCUAGUUUAUAUAAAGUGAUAUAUGACUAAACAUUACUUUAUGCUUCCAAUAUAUUAUUGAAUAACACAGAAACUGAUUUAAA